AUCACUGUUGUCUGCAAGGCCAUGCAGACGAAUCGGAUGCUUGGAUUAAUCACUGGAGCUCAUUUAUCCAGCUCUGCAUCCGGAGGGAAACGUCUAAAAUGUUCAGUUGACAAAGGAUCACCAUGACGACGAGACUAAAUUAGAUUAGACUGGAAGAGAAAACUCACCUGUUAUUACCUGGGAAAAUCAUUACAAGUAAAUUAAGAAGCCUGUUUGCUAUGAGUGAACGGGGAUCCUCUGAUGAAUAGGGAAUGUUCAUCAUGCAGAAUAAAUUUCCCUUUUUUUAAAUAUAAAUUCUAUAAUCUAAAAAAUUUC